rnacentral:tRNA from 1 species
AGUUUAAUAGAGCAUGGUGUUUGCAACACCAGGGUUGUGGGUUCGAUUCCCAC